CACGUAGGGCGCAAGCGUUGUCCGGAAUUAUUGGGCGUAAAGAGCUCGUAGGCGGUCUGUUGCGUCCGCUGUGAAAACUCGGGGCUUAACCCCGAGCCUGCAGUGGAUACGAGCAGACUAGAGGUAGGUAGGGGAGAAUGGAAUUCCCGGUGUAGCGGUGAAAUGCGCAGAUAUCAGGAGGAACACCGGUGGCGAAGGCGGAUCUCUGGGCCGAUACUGACGCUGAGGAGCGAAAGCGUGGGGAGCGAACAGG
rnacentral:rRNA from 1 species